UCAGAAUCACAAUUCAAACAAUUCAUUCGUCACAUUCUCCCCUACUUACAAAGAUUCUGUCCCCAGAAUCGAAGACAUAGAUUAAACAAAUAACUUAGGGUAAUUCUUCAUCAUUUCAGCUUCGAGUUCCCACGUAGCCUCUUCGACAUUAUGGUUCCUCCAUAUUACCUUCACAGAAGGUAUCACUUUAUUUCUGAGCACUUAUUCUUUCAUAUCGACUAACUGG
rnacentral:lncRNA from 1 species